CCUGCGUCAAAAAUAGUGGCUAGCAGGACUAGGGAAGUGAUUGUCCUGCUACAUUUGGCACUGGUGAGACCACAUCUCAAGUGCUACGUCCAGUUCUGGGACCCUCACUUCCAAAAGGACACUGAAGUGCUGAAGCAUGCCCAGAGAAGGGCAACAGAGUUGGUGAAGGGUUCUAUAAGGAGUAACUGAAGUGACUGGGGUUGUUUAGUCUGAAUAAGGGGAGACUCAGGCUGGCACCCCAUUGCUCUCUACAACCACAUGAAAGGAGAUUGUAGUGAGCCAUAAGGUACAGCAAAAAGCUUGUGAUGUUUUUUAGAAGUCAUCAUUAUCCUCACCUGUAAAGGGAUCCAGGUUUGCUUCUAAGAGGAAUGAAGAACAUCAUGUUUCCCUGAUACUGAAUGCAAGAUUUCAAUGAAUGAUGUUGGAAACAAAUUUGAUAGACUAAAAGCAUGCAGUGUGGAGGUGGAGAAAAGGACAAGAACAAGAAAUCAAAUACCUUUGAGAG